GAUGAACGCUGGCGGCGUGCUUAACACAUGCAAGUCGAACGGAAAGACCCUGCUUUUGUUGGGCGCUCGAUUGGCGAACGGGUGAGUGACACGCGAGUAUCCUGCCCUUGACUUUGUGAUAUCUUCAGGAGACUGGGGCUCAUACCGGGUAUGAUCUCCUGCUCCAUGGUGUGGGUUGGUGAAUUUCGGCUGUGGGGGAUCGACUCGCUGCUUAUCCGCUUGUUGGUGUGGUAGUUGCUUACCAAGGCUUUGACGGGUAGCCGGCCUGAGAGGGGGGACGGGCACAUGAGGACUGAGAGACGGCGCAGACUCCUACGGGAGGCAGUAGUGGAGAAUAUUGCACAACGGGCGCAAGCCUGAUGCAGCAACGCCGCGUGCGGGAUGACGGGCUUCGGGUGGUAAACAGCUUUCGCCUGUGACGAAGCGUGAGUGACGGUAAUGGGUAAAGAAGCACCGGCUAACUACGUG
rnacentral:rRNA from 1 species